GUUAAAUAUUUUUUAUAAAAUGAUUGUUAUAUACUCCCUUCAUUCCACAAAAACAUAUGUAGUAUGGGACGGCACAGGUUUUAAGAAAUCUUGUAAAGUGUAGUGUGAGUGGAUAAAAGAUCUCACAUUGAUUGUGAUAUUUAGUGGGAGAAUUAUUAUUAUAAAUGGAUAAUGCAUAUUUUUAUGAAAUAGACGAAAAAUAAAAAUUAUGCAUAUUUUUAUGGGAC
rnacentral:lncRNA from 1 species